CUAUAUCUCACUAGCCGUUUGCUGGGAAGGCAGGCGGGGACCUGGACGCCCGCACACCCUCGAGGGCCUCCAGUCUGCAGGUCCCUAGCCCGGGUCCCAGGCAGUGUGCAGUGUGGACCUGCUUGGCAAGGACUCUUUUUAGACUCCACAUGUUAAGUGAUAUUUCUCAAAAGAAGACAUCCAAGUGGUGAACAGAUCUAUGAAAAAAAAAAAUGCUUGUCAUCACAAACCAUCAGGGAAAUGCAAAUUAAAACCACAGUGAGACAUCACCUGCCCUGUUCGAAUGGCUUAUCAAAAAGAUGAAAGACAGCAAGUGUUGGUGAGGAUGUGGAGGAAAGGGAACCUUGUGUGCUGUUGGUGGGUAUGGACAGUCAUACAGCCACUGGGUGUUGGGAGGAGAAAACGUGGUGAUUCACUCAGCAGAUGCCCUCAUUCAUUCAGUGCUGGCCAACUGCUGUGCUCCUGGUCCUGGGUCGGGUGCCUACUAGAGGAUGCAGAUACAGCAUUUGAGAUGGACUGCUCUGGCACUGGCCUGGGGGCAGGGUAGGGGAGCGGGAAAUGGUCAUUCCUGUGAGAAGCUGGGAUGGAAAGGAGAAGACGGAUUGGGGAUGGUAAGAGGCAGAGGGGGCAGGCUUGGAGAUCACAUGGGUGUGGACAUGGCGGAUGGGGUGGGCUGGGAGAAGUGGGUAGGGAAAGGUGGCACCGAGGUAGCAAGUUCUGGUGACCAGGCAGAUGGCACCGUCCUGCCCAGAGAUGGAGGCUACAGGAGCUGGUGAGUGCCCCAGGCCUGGAUGUGGGACACAUGAGGUCAUGAGGAGCAACCACAGGAGCCGUCCUGUGAGAAGCUAAUAUGUGAGUCUCAGGAGGAGAUGGGGUGCCGAGGGUCAGCGGGGUUGCGUGUGUGAGUGCGGAGCAGAGUGGAGGCCGCGGGAGGCCAAGGCAGUGGUCAGGAUGUGAGGGGUGGAGUGAGCACUGUGGGCCUGCUGGAGGAACCUGAGGGGCAGACAUUGCCAUCUCACUGGCAGGUCGGGGAGAAGGUGGCCGGUGGCAAGGGUGUGCCCUCGGGUUAUAAGGAGGGGUUCAUGUCCAGACUCUGGACAUGUAUGGCUGGGAGACUUUGGGUAGCUUUUCUGAGCCUCAGGGUCCCUAAGUUAGAUGGGGGUGAUGAUGUCUACCUCACAGGGUGUGGGGGAUUAAUGGGCCAAACUUGGUGCUGAUGUGCAUAGAGUGUGCAGUGAGACCCCAACCUUAGUGAUGCCUGUGCCCCCAGAUGCAGCUGAAGGGUAGCACCCACCGACUGUAAUAUCAUAAGGGGGCAGGACACACCCAGAUAUUUAGGACAAAUCAGAAAUCCUCGUUGGAUGCUCUUUCUAUGCAUGUGAACACAUUUUGGUUGGGGCAGGGCGAGGAACCUCUCAGAGCCAUGGAUGGGGUGGCCGUGAGGAGGGGGAGUUGCAUGCUGGGUAUGCCUUAUGGGUGGGCAUGAACUUUGUGGACCAAAGGCCACAGCCCCUUUUGGAGUAGCCCCUUUUGUAACGGUAGAGGGUUUUAGGAGGGAUUUGUCGAUGAGACCGUGGCUGAGGUUCAUCUGAAAAGGCUCCCUGAGGAACCAAAGCCCAAGACUCGCUGGAUAGAUGUGUUCGGUGCAAACCAGGGUGCAGAGAGCACAGCAUCAGGUCCCAGGUGCCAGUUGCCAGGCCAGCCCAUGGUUAGACAGCCUCAGGUGGAGGGAGUACAGCUUCUGUGUCCCUGCCUGAAUGAACGGUGGCACAGGAGUGGAAUUUUGAGAUGCCCUGGGAAAAACGUGGAAGCGCUGGAAAUGUGUGGGCAGGAACAGUCUUGGAGCACCGUGUGGACCUAGUCACAGACAAGCCCGGCUCACGUCAUGCCUCAUUCUGCUUAUCUGUGAUGGCUGACCUCCUCAAGGCCAGCAAGGUAUCAGGACUUACAAGUUCCCAACAGCUUUGCAGGCUCUGGAGGACAGCAGAAAGGUCACCGUCCACAAGCAGGCGCUGCCACCAUGGAGAGGGGUAAGCGACAUAUGCCUGGGUGGUUCAGGAGCACCACGCUUAGUCCAGCCCCACCACCCUACAGAGGAGGAAAACAUGCUGAGGAGACUUUCAGGGACUUGUUUAUGCCCCAGUUAAUGAUCUUCUCCACUUGGUAUCCCCCGGUACAAGGUUUCCAGAAAUGUCAUCCUUCUGAUGGGAUGUGGGAACCCCCAGGUCCCGAUUGCUCAAGGUUUGUCAAAGAUUUCCAGGCCCACGCUGAAGACGGCAGAGGGACAGUGUUACUCGUGGUUAAACGUCUGGUCAGCACCUUCUUUGCCAUUAGAAAUGUCAUCUCCAACUCCCACGAAUGUUGCUUCACCGUUAACUGGGGUGACGUCGGGCGGCUGCCUCUGCUCUGCUCUGGGGUCAGGAUUUCAUUUCUGCUUUUUUCACAGGUGUAAGUCUGGGCUGUUAACAGGCACAGCCCAGGAACCCAAGGACAUCUGUUGGCACCACGGCUGCCUGCACACAGGGUGCAGACUUCAGAUGCCGUGUCCUUCCCCAUCCGCUCCUGCGACCCAGCCACGAAGCCUGGCCGGCUCUAUUCCCUGAGCCUCUGGGUGACUUGUGACCCUAAUCCACCUCUUUGGGGAGGUUUAUUAAUUACUGUACUGGAGGCAGCUCCGUGCCAAGAAGUUCAAAGCAUCUUCCAACCUUGACCCAUUAAUCCCUUUAGCAUCCCAGGGAGAUCGGAAGGCACUGGCUGAGUCCUGUGAUUCCCAUCGCCUGCCAUUGCAUACAUGGUGGGGGAUGGAGGGGGAACUUGAGCAAGGAGAGCUUGGCCUGCAUGUCCUCCGUGAGUCAAUAGCAGGCCUGGAAAAGAAGUUGAGUUUCCCGACUGAGGCCAAGAGCCUCACUGCCAGCACAGGCUUCCUUCCUUACAAAACAGUUGUCAUCCACGCCUCUCAAGAUGUACCCGUCCCUCAACACCCCAUCCCCCAGCACGGGCCGCCUCAGUAUCUUAGUGCCAGCAGCACUACCGCUGUUUACAUUGAGCUCUGGAGAGUGGCGUUUUAUCAUCAGGAGCAGCCAAACACGGCCCUCUCCCUUCUCUGAGUAUCCUCUGCAGAAAACACCCUCCCCCACAAAAGGGUUUGGUCUUGGAGCAGAGGCCACAUCCGUCACCUGUUCAGGGAGCACCACAGCUGUGCGGUCCCCGAGGGGGCUACCUACCAGGGCAGGGCGGCUCCCCGGGGUGCUCGGGGGACCCCCAGCCAGAGGCAGCUGGAUAAGGAAGAAACAAGAUGUUCUUUCUCCUGCCUGUAUUUGCCUUGUACUCUUCAGAUUCGACAUUGUUUUUAAUUUUCAGCCUAAUUUUAGUCCAAGAACUUGGUGAGGCUGGAGAAGAGUCUUAAA
rnacentral:lncRNA from 1 species